GAAGAACUGGAGCAUAGAAUAACUAUUGGACCACUGAGACAACAGCGGAUUACUGAUCAAGCCUAUAAUAUUAUCUGCUGAAGGGUUGUAUCUUAUUAUCACCACUGGACUCUUUCCGAAAUGGAGGGAAAAGCUUUUAUUAUAAUGUGCAUUUUUAUUGCAACAGUCCACGCGCAAAGUUCAACAACUCAGUCCACAGUAGAUUCAACAACCGACACCUCUGCAACACCCACAGCUACAAUGACGUCUUCAACAACCACUACAACUCUUGCUGAAUCAUCCACUACUACUGCAGGAGUUACCACGACAGCACCACAAACUACUUUUACAACAGCUGAAUCCUCCACAACAGCUACAACAACAGCAGAUCCUUCAACAACCACUACAACUAUUGCUGAAACAUCCACUACUACUGCAGGAGUUACCACGAUACCACCACAAUCUACUGUUACAACAGCAGAAUCCUCCACAACAGCUACAACAACAGCAGUUCCUUCAACAACCACUACAACUCUAACUGAAGCAUCCACUACUACUGCAGGAACAACCACAACAGCCCCACAAACUACUGUUACAACAGCAGAAUCCUCCACAACAGCAACAACAACAGCAGUGCCCUCAACAACCACUACAACUCUUGCUGAAUCAUCCACCACUACUCCAGGAGUUACCACAACAGCACCACAAACUACUGUUGCAACAGCAGAAUCCUCCACAACAGAUACAACAACAGCAGUGCCCUCAACAAUCACUACAGCUCUUGCUGAAUCAUCCACCACUAUUGCAGGAGUUACCACGACAGCACUACAAACUACUGUUACAACAGUUGAAUCCUCCACAACAGCAACAACAACAACAGUUCCCUCAACAACAAUUACAACUCUUGAUAAAUCAUCCACGACUACUGCAGGAGUUACCACAACAGCCCCACAAACUACUGUUACAACAGUAGAAUCCUCCACAACAUCUACAACAACAACAACAGUGCCCUCAACAACCAUUACAACUGUUGCUGAAUCAUCCACGACUACUGCAGGAGUUUCCACGACAGCACUACAAACUACUGUUACAACAGCAGAAUCCUCCACAACAGCUACAACAACAGCAGUUCCUUCAACAACCAUUACAACUCUUACUGAGGCAUCCACUACUACUGCAGGAGUUACCACAACAGCACCACAAACUACUGUUACAACAGCAGAAUCCUCCACAACAUCUACAACAACAACAACAGUGCCCUCAACAACCAUUACAACUGUUGCUGAAUCAUCGACCACUACUGCAGGAGUUACCACAACAGCACCACAAACUACUGUUACAACAGCAGAAUCCUCCACAACAGCUACAACAACAGCAGUUCCUUCAACAACCAUUACAACUCUUACUGAGGCAUCCACUACUACUGCAGGAGUUACCACAACAGCCCCACAAACUAGUGUUACAACAGCAGAAUCCUCCACAACAGCAACAACAACAGCAGUUCCUUCAACAACCAUUACAACUCUUACUGAGGCAUCCACUACUACUGCAGGAGUUACCACAACAGCACCACAAGCUACUGUUACAACAGCAGAAUCCUCCACAACAGCUAGAACAACAGCAGCAACAUCUGAAACACCAGCAACUUCAUCGCCAACAGGUUCAGCCACAGUCUUUACAUCAAUUAUUGGUACAUCCACCAGUGGUACAGCAAUAACCACAAAAGUGACACAAUCUAAAGUUACUACAGAGUCUACAGCAUCUAACACUUCUACAGAACCUGCAGUGUCUACAGCUGCUAUAGCUUCUACUGUAUCUACAGCUUCAACAGCAUCUACAGCAUCAACAGCAUCUACAACCUCUACAGCAUCUACAGCCUCUACAACAUCUACAACCUCUACAGCAUCUACAACCUCUACAGCAUCUACAACCUCCAAAGCAACUACUGCAAAAAUAAUACCUGAAGUGCUAACAGAUCUAGUGUUUAGCUCUUUUGAGACAUUUAUAGAUGCACUCAGUGAUGUCAACAGUGAGGAGUUUAAGAUUAGGUCUAAACUUGUCAAGGAUGAGCUUGAGCCUGUCUACAAAAUCAAGUAUUCUAACUUCCUCAGAUUGAAUGUCCUAAGAUUCAGAUCAGGGUCAAUCAUCACAUCAACACAACUAGCUUUCAGCUUCAACCAAACUAUCCCAUCUGUUCAAGAGAUUUCAAACACCCUCUUGGAAGCAGUGGGAACAGGGGAUGUCAAUCCAUUAAAGAUAAUCCCUGAAUCAAUUUCAGUCAAUGGUUCAGGUAAGAUGAACUACACACACUACUCAACUCUCAACUCAACUCAACUUUACUUAUAUAGCACCAAUAAAAACAAAAAUUGUAGACCAAGGUGCUGUACUAGAUUUAUAGUCUUCUAUACCUGUAACUAGUCUAUAACUAUGAGUCUAUUGGAAUGUUCAGCUAAUUUGCUUAUGUUUUUAUUACUGCUUCAGCUACAACUGUUGCUCCUGCAACAACUACAACAACCACCACCACAGCAACUACAGUUUCAGGCGGAUUAAAGAUUGAAUCCAGUCUGUUCCAAGCAAUAUGCCUCAUUAUUAUGUCUAAAAUAUUAAGCUUUUUCCUAUAGAUCCCUUAAACAUAUCAACCAAACAUGAGAGUUCAACAAGACACACUGUAACAAAUUAAUUAAACACAAAAUGUAUUUAUUAUUAUUAUUAUUAAAUGUAUAGUAUUUCUCAUUGUAGCACAUUCUCAAAUACUAGUAUUGAGCAACAUAAAGAUAACUUUGAUAAUGCAUUUUUGCUGAAGAAUAUAACAGUAGAUAUCUGUUUAACAGCAGGCUGUUUUCUGGGAGGGAGAAGUAGAUCUUUUUCCUUAUGUAUUUCCUUUAAAUGUAAACAUUGUGAAUGUUGUUUAACAGUUUUGAGGUUAAUACUGUUUAAACUACUUAUUUUUGUUUGUCUAAGUUCUAACAUUGUAAUAUGUAAUAUUUUAAUUAAAUACAAAUAUUUAUUAAAUGAUGUAGUCCAAAAUAUUUUGCUUUCAUAAAAAAAGACUACAAUACAACUACAGCACAAUAAAUACUAUAUAUGCUAAACCUGG
ensembl:lncRNA